CCUACGGGUGGCAGCAGUAGGGAAUCUUUCACAAUGGGCGAAAGCCUGAUGGAGCAACGCCGCGUGCAGGAUGAAGGCCUUCGGGUUGUAAACUGCUUUUAUAAGCGAGCAAUAUGAUGGUAACUUAUGAAUAAGAAUCUGCUAACUACGUGCCAGCAGCCGCGGUAAUAGGUAGGGGGCAAGCGUUAUCCGGAUUUACUGGGUGUAAAGGGAGCGUAGACGGCAGCACAAGUCUGGAGUGAAAUCCCGGGGCUUAACCCCGGAACUGCUUUGGAAACUGUGCGGCUGGAGUGCAGGUGGGGUAAGCGGAAUGCCUAGUGUAGCGGUGAAAUGCGUAGAUAUUAGGAGGAACACCGGUGGCGAAGGCGGCUUACUGGACUGUAACUGACGUUGAGGCUCGAAAGCGUGGGGAGCAAACAGGAUUAGAUACCCGGGUAGUC
rnacentral:rRNA from 1 species